AGCUCCAGUAGCGUAUAUUAAUGUUGUUGCAGUUAAAAAGCUCGUAGUUGGAUUUCUGAUGUGACACAGCCGCCCUCCGUCUGUGACGGUGAGUGUGGAUUUUGCGUCCAUCAUCCUUCUAGAAAGACUCUCGCCUUAAUUGGUUGGGAUGUUCGAUCUAGAUCUUUUACUUUGAAAAAAUUAGAGUGUUUAAAGCAGGCUUGCGCUAUGAAUACAUUAGCAUGGAAUAAUAAGAUAGGACUCUUGUCUCUAUUUUGUUGGUUUCUAGAGCUCGAGUAAUGAUUGAUAGGGAUAGUUGGGGAUGCUAGUAUUUAAUGGCCAGAGGUGAAAUUCUCGGAUUCGUUAAAGACUAACUUCUGCGAAAGCAUUCAUCAAGGAUAUCUUCU
rnacentral:rRNA from 1 species